UGCAGAACUUGGGGGAGCUCAGGCUGCCCUGUGCUGCUGAACAGGUCCUGAGCUUCCAGAUGUAAAAUGAUGAAUUCCACGGGGCUGGGGAGGACUUUUACCCCUGGAUAAAAGGAACGAUGAAGAGAUUUCUGAGUCACCCCAGCGCAGAAACAUCCGGACAAAAUCAGCUGAGAUUCUCUGGCCCCACCCUGGAAAGGGAAAGCAGGGACCCAUCCCGAGCAGCUGCUCCGUGAGUCCGGCUGGAUUCACCGGGAGCGAGGGGAGCAGCGAUCACAGCAUCCCCUAAAGGUGAGAGGAGCUGUUUGUACCUGGAGUUACCUGGA